GACGAACGCUGGCGGCGUGCUUAACACAUGCAAGUCGAACGGUAAGGCCCUUCGGGGUACACGAGUGGCGAACGGGUGAGUAACACGUGGGUGAUCUGCCCUGCACUUCGGGAUAAGCCUGGGAAACUGGGUCUAGUACCGGGUAGGACCACUGCCUGCAUGGGUGGUGGUGGAAAGCUUUUGCGGUGUGGGAUGGGCCCGCGGCCUAUCAGCUUGUUGGUGGGGUGAUGGCCUACCAAGGCGACGACGGGUAGCCGGCCUGAGAGGGUGACCGGCCACACUGGGACUGAGAUACGGCCCAGACUCCUACGGGAGGCAGCAGUGGGGAAUAUUGCACAAUGGGCGCAAGCCUGAUGCAGCGACGCCGCGUGAGGGAUGACGGCCUUCGGGUUGUAAACCUCUUUCAGCACCGACGAAGCGCAAGUGACGGUAGGUGCAGAAGAAGGACCGGCCAACUACGUGCCAGCCGCCGCGGUAA
rnacentral:rRNA from 1 species